AUCCUGGCUCAGGAUGAACGCUAGCUACAGGCUUAACACAUGCAAGUCGAGGGGCAGCAUUGGGAUAGCUUGCUAUUCAGAUGGCGACCGGCGCACGGGUGAGUAACGCGUAUCCAACCUUCCUGCCAGUAGGGAACAGCCCGGCGAAAGUCGGAUUAAUGCCCUAUGUUCUUCAAUGCGGACAUCUAAGUUGAAGGAAAGAUUCAUCGCUGGCAGAUGGGGAUGCGUCCGAUUAGCUUGCCGGCGGGUAACGGCCCACCGGGGCGACGAUCGGUAGGGGUUCUGAGAGGAAGGUCCCCCACACUGGUACUGAGACACGGACCAGACUCCUACGGGAGGCAGCAGUGAGGAAUAUUGGUCAAUGGGCGUAAGCCUGAACCAGCCAAGUAGCGUGCAGGAAUGACGGCCCUACGGGUUGUAAACUGCUUUUAUGCGGGGAUAAAGUGCGGCACGUGUGCCGCUUUGCAGGUACCGCAUGAAUAAGGACCGGCUAAUUCCGUGCCAGCAGCAGC
rnacentral:rRNA from 1 species